GCACGUKUCGGAUUAUUGGGCGUAAGAGCUCGUAAGCGGCUUGUCGCGUCUGCUGUGAAAGCCCGGGGCUUAACUCCGGGUGUGCAGUGGGUACGGGCAGGCUAGAGUGCAGUAGGGGUAACUGGAAUUCCUGGUGUAGCGGUGAAAUGCGCAGAUAUCAGGAGGAACACCGAUGGCGAAGGCAGGUUACUGGGCUGUUACUGACGCUGAGGAGCGAAAGCAUGGGGAGCGAACAGGAUUAGAUACCCUGGUAGUCCAUGCCGUAAACGUUGGGCACUAGGUGUGGGGGACAUUCCACGUUUUCCGCGCCGUAGCUAACGCAUUAAGUGCCCCGCCUGGGGAGUACGGCCGCAAGGCUAAAACUCAAAGGAAUUGACGGGGGCCCGCACAAGCGGCGGAGCAUGCGGAUUAAUUCGAUGCAACGCGAAGAACCUUACCAAGGCUUGACAUACACCGGAUCGUUCCAGAGAUGGUUCUUCCCUUUUGGGCUGGUGUACAGGUGGUGCAUGGUUGUCGUCAGCUCGUGUCGUGAGAUGUUGGGUUAAGUCCCGCAACGAGCGCAACCCUCGUUCUAUGUUGCCAGCACGUGAUGGUGGGGACUCAUAGGAGACUGCCGGGGUCAACUCGGAGGAAGGUGGGGAUGACGUCAAAUCAUCAUGCCCCUUAUGUCUUGGGCUUCACGCAUGCUACAAUGGCCGGUACAAUGGGUUGCGAUACUGUGAGGUGGAGCUAAUCCCAAAAAGCCGGUCUCAGUUCGGAUUGGGGUCUGCAACUCGACCCCAUGAAGUCGGAGUCGCUAGUAAUCGCAGAUCAGCAACGCUGCGGUGAAUACGUUCCCGGGCCUUGUACACACCGCCCGUCAAGUCACGAAAGUUGGUAACACCCGAAGCCGAUGGCCUAACCCUUGUGGAGGGAGUCGUCGAAGGUGGGACUGGCGAUUGGGACUAAGUCGUAACAAGGUAACCGUAAAGGG
rnacentral:rRNA from 1 species